rnacentral:rRNA from 1 species
AACGAACGCUGGCGGCGCGCCUAAUACAUGCAAGUCGAGCGAGAAGACGUAGCAAUACGUUUGUAAAGCGGCGAACGGGUGAGGAAUACAUGGGUAACCUACCCUCGAGUGGGGAAUAACUAGCCGAAAGGUUAGCUAAUACCGCGUACGCUCCUUGGACUUCGGUUCAGGGAGGAAAGCGAUACCGUGGGUAUCGCGCUCUUGGAUGGGCUCAUGUCCUACCAGCUUGUUGGUGAGGUAACGGCUCACCAAGGCUUCGACGGGUAGCUGGUCUGAGAGGACGAUCAGCCACACUGGCACUGCGACACGGGCCAGACUCCUACGGGAGCAGCAGUAAGGAAUAUUGCGCAAUGGGCGAAAGCCUGACGCAGCGACGCCGCGGUGGGGGAGUGAA